CCUUUAAAAUUAUACGAUGCGUUUCACAAUUCAAUCAACCGAAGUGGGCUGUGUUAUACGUGUGGGCUUUAUGUCUUUCUCAUGGAGAUCAGCCCGAUAACCUGACACCUAAGCCUCUGAACAUGUUUCAUCCCGUUCUUUGUUCUCCGCUGUUCAAAAGAUUGAGAUGUUGCAGUCGACGUAAGGAAUCGACUCGAUGAGUUUCGAUUGCGUCUUUCAAUCGUCACCAUGAUCAACAUACAUGAUUUCUUCUCUCCUGCAAUGGAAAUCAAAAACGUUACGGAAACUCAACCAGAUUCAAUCAGUGUCAUUAAAGUUUUUCUUAACUCCAUCUCCCCACCCCCACUCCUUCCGGUUUCCACGAUUCUUCACUCAAUGCUCCCACCUUGCUUUUAGUCAGUGAAGCUACAAAUAUAAAUAGACUACAAUGGCAAACUCCUCUCACUAUGAGCUCUCACCUUUGAGAGGAAGCCUAAGACGUCCCGGAGGAAAGACAAUCGUCCGGAGUGCGCACAGUAGGAGGAGGAAAGUGCCUACGGAGGAAAGGAUGAGGAUGAAAGCGGUGAAGAAUAAAGCAAAAAGCCAUUGUUGAUGGUGAUGAGGAUAGAGAGAAGAGAUCACUAAUGGAAAGUGGGGCAAAGCUAACGCCAGUGAAAAGGAUAUCUAUGGCAACACCAAGGUCACUGAGCUCAAGAAUUAGGACGCCGAGUCCGUCAAAGUUAAUUUGAGUAAAAAUAGAGUCUUUUGAUGGCUGCUAACUAUCUGAACAUCAUCAGAGUUCCUUGACCUUACGUGCAAAACUGUGGCGGAUAUGACGAUAGGCAAGACUCAAGAUGUACAAGCUUGCGCUGGUUCCACUCAAACAGUCUCAUUCUUUCUCUGCGCAACUCUCCACCUUCGGGCAACAUUGAUUCAAGCAUCGAUUAAUUUCCACCGGCUAAACACAUUCAAUCACUUAUUGAGUGAAGGGAUGUUUAUGAUCUCAGCGUUUUCGAUGUGACUAGAAGCAACCCCAGCUUCGGCUUUAGUGAUUGCCAACAUGCUAUUACAUGACUCUUACGAUUCUAUUAGGAGAUUGUUGGGACCACUUUAACCUUUCAACUGAAGCUAUUUGAGCUCAACUCUCUGCAUAACAUUAGACCUUCACCGUUUCCUACAUUUUUUUCAGCAACCAACGCUCACCACAGCUUCAUUUUGGGCUUCAGUGAUAACUGACACAUUGACAGUGUGGGAAUAACAACCUUGGGGAUAUAUGCUAUGCACGGUGCUGGAGCAGUCAAAACGAAGCGACAAUGAUGGCCCUAAGAGCAGUGUCAUCAACCUUGGUAUGUGUGAUGCUAAUAGUGUUGUGGAAGGUGCAAGAGGUGAGGCCAUUGAACCAAGUAACAGCUCUGAUGAUAAAAAGAACAAAAGCGAGGUUGCACCACAGAAGGAAGUUGUGUCCUUUUAAAAAGGGCACGGUCUGACUAAUAAAAAAGAACAAGGGGACGUUAAUUUAAGGGAUAUGAUUACAGGUCUGUUGCAUUAGGUUUUAAAUAUAUUUCUCAAAGACAAUGAAGUUAGAAUAUUUCAAAUAUUUUGCAUAUUCGGUUUUGUUGCUUUAA